rnacentral:rRNA from 1 species
UGCGCAGGCGGUUAUAUAAGACAGAUGUGAAAUCCCAGGGCUCAACCUUGGAACUGCCUUUGAAACUCCUGUUCUUGAGGUCGAGAGAGGUGAGUGGAAUUCCGAGUGUAGAGGUGAAAUUCGUAGAUAUUCGGAGGAACACCGAUGGCGAAGGCAAUCCCCUGGGCCUGUACUGACGCUCAUGCACGAAAGCGUGGGAGCAAACA